CUCGUAGGCGGUUUGUCGCGUCGGCCGUGAAAACCUGCCGCUUAACGGUGGGCGUGCGGUCGAUACGGGCAGACUUGAGUUCGGCAGGGGAGACUGGAAUUCCUGGUGUAGCGGUGAAAUGCGCAGAUAUCAGGAGGAACACCGGUGGCGAAGGCGGGUCUCUGGGCCGAUACUGACGCUGAGGAGCGAAAGCGUGGGGAGCGAACA
rnacentral:rRNA from 1 species